rnacentral:rRNA from 1 species
AUUGAACGCUGGCGGCAUGCCUUACACAUGCAAGUCGAACGGCAGCACGGGUGCUUGCACCUGGUGGCGAGUGGCGAACGGGUGAGUAAUACAUCGGAACGUACCUUAUCGUGGGGGAUAACGCAGCGAAAGCUGUGCUAAUACCGCAUACGCCCUGAGGGGGAAAGCGGGGGAUCGAAAGACCUCGCGCGAUUAGAGCGGCCGAUGCCUGAUUAGCUUGUUGGUGGGGUAAAAGCCCACCAAGGCGACGAUCAGUAGCUGGUCUGAGAGGACGAUCAGCCAAACUGGGACUAAGACACGGCCCAGACUCCUACGGGAGGCAGCAGUGGGGAAUUUUGGACAAUGGGGGAAACCCUGAUCCAGCAAUGCCGCGUGAGUGAAGAAGGCCUUCGGGUUGUAAAGCUCUUUUGUCAGGGAAGGAACACCGGCUCUAACACAGUCCGGGAAUGACGGUACCUGAAGAAUAAGCACCGGCUAACUACGUGCCAGCCGCCGCCGUAA